UUGCAGAACUCAGGAGGGAGACUGAUGAGUUGCGAUGACACAUGAAUGAGCGGGUAGAGCAACUAGUGGAGGAGCGGAUGAAAGAACAGAUGGCUAAGCAUCUAGAGCAAAUGGAGCAACGGAUGACAGAGCGAAUAACGGAGCAGAUGGAGCAACGGAUGACAGAGCGAAUAACAGAGCAGAUGAUGGCACGAAUGAGAGAUACUAUGAACUCAUUGGCUGCAACAGACCAAACUUCAGGCAAUGUACUAAAUGUAGAGGCUGACUCAGUAUCCACUCCUAGGGAUAGACCUGAGGCUGAGGGACCUCAGUCGAAGGUUCCGAAGAAUCAAUAGGUCAAGUCGUAUUUAUGUGUAUUUAUGUGUUUGACAUGCAAAAGAAUCCAAGGGCUGUCUUAAAAUGAGGGUUGCAAAUUGGAAAAAGGUGGGCCAUACUUUUUUGCUUCAUGCUUUGUUU